AACUCUUAGUGGUGGAUCACUAGGCUCAUGUAUCAACGAAGAAUGCAGCUAACUGCAAGAAUUUGAAUUUUCAGGACACAUUGAUUGUUGGCACUUUAAGUGCACUUUUGGCCCUGGAUUCCUCCUAUGUCUGAGUGUUC
ensembl:rRNA 5_8S_rRNA 5.8S ribosomal RNA